GGGUCGUUAGCUCAGUUGGUAGAGCAGUUGACUUUUAAUCAAUUGGUCGCAGGUUCGAAUCCUGCACGACCCACCAUUC
rnacentral:tRNA from 1 species